UACGUAGGGUGCGAGCGUUGUCCGGAAUUACUGGGCGUAAAGAGCUCGUAGGUGGUUUGUCGCGUUGUUCGUGAAAACUCACAGCUCAACUGUGGGCGUGCGGGCGAUACGGGCAGACUGGAGUACUGCAGGGGAGACUGGAAUUCCUGGUGUAGCGGUGGAAUGCGCAGAGUAUCAGGAGGAACACCGGUGGCGAAGGCGGGUCUCUGGGCAGUAACUGACGCUGAGGAGCGAAAGCCGUGGGGAGCGAACAGG
rnacentral:rRNA from 1 species